ensembl:lncRNA KBTBD11-AS1 KBTBD11 antisense RNA 1
AGGGGCUGUGGGUUCCCCGGGGCUUCCCUGCCCCGCGCCUGCCCGCCGGGCGCUUCUCCCCCUCCAGGACCGCGGCCCACGUCGCCACUCGAGCCCGAGCCCGAGCCCGCGCCCACGCGCGGGGGCCGCUUCCUGCGAGGAGGCGGGGACAGGUGUCCGCGGGCGCAAACAGCGGAGUUUCGUGCGCCUAUUUUUUGGUAAAAGUAGAGGCGAUGCGUUGUUGACAUAUUUAGUGGUUAAAAACUUAUUGCCAAAUUCUCAACAGAUUCCAGAAUUUUUUAAAGUUCACAACACGAGAGUGGACGAAAUGUCGGAGCUUUUGCUCAUAUCCAGAAAUGUGGCCUCUGCCUCCCACUCGGGCCCUGCGGUGCAGACGGGUUCAGGGCGGCGAGGACUGAGCCAGGAGCGCCGAGAGUUCCAGCUGCUCCCAGGCUGGGUUCUAAUUAACGCUGGACCCCUGCUGAGAUGGAGUCUCACUCUGUCGCCCAGGCUGGAAUGCAGUGGUGCAAUCUCGGCUCACUGCGAUCUCUGCGUCCUGGGUUCAAGCAAUUCUCCUGCCUCAGCCUCCCAAGUAGCUGUGACUACAGAGAAACGUGAACAGGCCAAACAAAGCCUCACCUGGCUAUCCCGCCACCCUGGGGUUGGGCCUCCAAAGGCCCGGGAGGUCACCUAAGACACGGUGUUCUGAACAUGCAAGCCCGACAGCAUCUUCUCUACCAUUCUGCCAGAGUCCAGAGACCUGGGAAUAGGUCAUACCCCCCACUGCAUUUUACAAGCUUGGCAUACAUUAGGUUCUCAAUAAAUACUGAAUUAAUGAAAAAAUUGCUGAAGUAACUGAAAACAUCCAUCCAAACCCCACACCAUCUGGUAGAUAAGUAGUCUGUGGGGAGUCCCAUAUUUUUCUUACCUUAGAUAUUUAUUUGGAAAUGGACUGUAGGCCCAAUAUGGUCAAUGAAACUUGCAGAGGAACAUUUCAUGCCUUUAAUUAGUUCUUCAUAACUGCAGGGACCUCUAGAGUUCCUGAAAUUGAACUGGGUUGUAAUACUGUCAAGAAAAAGGAGGACCUAUCUUAAAUCUAUUUCAAGGGUAAUACUAUUUUACUAUGUAAAUUUUCCCCUGGUCAGGGACAGCCUGAUCAUGCAUGGUAGACUCGAAGCAUGCAAAUAUUUCAACAUGCAAAACCGCCCUAAAAAUAUAACCGAAGCUUAUGGAGUUGUCCAGGGUACAGUGGUUUACUGGCCCCUGAAUGCGGGACUCCAUCAAACUGGGUUCCAGGCUGGGAGGUCUCUGAACCCAAUUUCUAGACAGCCUGCUUUGGAGUUCAACUGAUGGGACCUUAGACACCAGCCUUACCCUCUGCAAGUCUUGUGAUUUGGAGCCAGAUACUUGGCCUCUCUGUGCUCCAGGGAGACACCACUGCACCUACCUGAGAGGACUGAAGGAGAGGAUCUGUGCAACUCACUCAGGAUACUGGAUCUUAAGCCAAUGGGUGGACUUACAUUCGUCACCUCUGAUUCUGUCUCCUCCUGCGCGGUGACUUAGCAAACACUUCUUCCUCUCCAGCUCUGCUUCUUACUCUCCAGCUCUGCUGCCCUGUUCCAGUGCUGACGCCAGACAACAGAUAAUUUCCCAAAUGCUUGUAUUAGCCCUUAGGAGUUCAUGUGUUCCUCCCCCAGCCAAUAAAGCUGUUAAAUCCCAAUAACUGUCAGGAAUGGAGCCAAUUGCUAUAAAGUACUUCCAGCUUCUUGGCAUGAAGAAAUAAUUAG